UACGUAGGGUACAAGCGUUGUCCGGAAUUAUUGGGCGUAAAGAGCUCGUAGGUGGUUUGUCGCGUCUGCUGUGGAAUCGUGCCGCUUAACGGUGCGAGUGCAGUGGGUACGGGCAGACUGGAGUGCAGUAGGGGAGUCUGGAAUUCCUGGUGUAGCGGUGAAAUGCGCAGAUAUCAGGAGGAACACCGGUGGCGAAGGCGGGACUCUGGGCUGUUACUGACGCUGAGGAGCGAAAGCAUGGGGAGCGAACAGG
rnacentral:rRNA from 1 species